UACGUAGGGUGCAAGCGUUGUCCGGAAUUAUUGGGCGUAAAGAGCUCGUAGGCGGUUUGUUGCGUCGGCUGUGAAAUCCCGAGGCUCAACCUCGGGUCUGCAGUCGAUACGAGCAAACUAGAGUGUUGCAGGGGAGACUGGAAUUCCUGGUGUAGCGGUGAAAUGCGCAGAUAUCAGGAGGAACACCGAUGGCGAAGGCAGCUCGCUGGGACGGUACUGACGCUGAGGCGCGAAAGCGUGGGGAGCGAACAGG
rnacentral:rRNA from 1 species